AUCCAGCCUCCUGUCAAUCACUGGUCCCGGGUGGGAUUUCCGCAUUCUUCCCGUCAAUGAGCUCCCCUGGGGCGGGACUUCCGGGCUUAGAAACCGCGGCGCUGACACCCGGAGGACUUGGUGUCCGCGCGAUCGGAGCCGCCUGUCAAUCACUGGUCCCGGGGCGGGAUUUCCUCGUCCUUCCGUCCAUCAUGGUCAAGAGGGCGGGACUUCCCGGCACCGAAACCGUGGCGUGAACGCGGGAGCCCUCGGUUUCCCGGCACCGGGUCCCGCACGUCAAUCAUCCCCGAGCCGGCAGGAAUUUCGGGGGCUCCUGUUUCAUGUCAAUCCGUCCGCAGCGGGCGGGACUUCCUGGCGGCGGUCCUGGUUUCCAAGCUGUUUCCCGGUGACCGGUGCCGUGCACGUCAAUCACCGCUGUUCGGGAGGGACUUCCGGAAAGCAGCCUGGGCGGGGAGUCAGGGAUGGCUGACGGGGGCGGGGACUCAGGGAUGGCUGACGGGGGCGGGGACUCAGCGAUGAUGGACGGCUCAGCAGUUUCUCAUCCCUUGUGACCUCUGACCCUGGGUCACAGCCUGGAUGGCCCCUCCCCGCGGUGGAGGAGGAGCCCGGCCACGCCCACCGAAGGUCGCUGGUGACGCUGACAUCAGGGUGACGCUGGGACUGCAUCAUCAAUAUGCAAAUGAGGUGGAGCUUCCUAGGAGUCAGUGCUCCUCAUGACGACUCCGCCCCGUGUCCACCCCAACCUUCACUUCCGGUCACAUGACCCCAGGUGAUCCCGGGGAAUCCCAAUCCCAGCUCACGAAUAUGCAAAUGAGGAGCCUGCAUCACCGAUAUGUAAAUGAGAGUCCCGGAUGCUCCCGGGCACCCUGCAGUGAGAGUCCCGUGACGUCACUAAAGCCAUGCAAAUGAGCCCAGACGGCUCAUGAAUAUGCAGAUGAGGCUCCGCCCACGCCCCUCCCCUCAGACCCUGAAACCCGCAGUUUUCCUCGGUUUUUAUUAAAAUGAAAACACCAC
rnacentral:lncRNA from 1 species